rnacentral:rRNA from 1 species
UACGAGAGGUGCUAGCGUUAUUCGGAAUUAUUGGGCGUAAAGGGCGCGUAGGCGGUUUAUUAAGUUUGUUGUUAAAGCCUCUGGCUUAACCGGAGAAAAGCAAUAAAAACUGAUAAACUAGAGGGUGAGAGAGAGAAGUGGAAUUCCCGGAGUAGCGGUAAAAUGCGUAGAUCUCGGGAGGAACACCAAUGGCGAAGGCUGCUUCUUGGCUCACAACUGACGCUGAGGCGCGAAAGCGUGGGGAGCAAACAGG